ACGAUGGAGAGUUUGAUCCUGGCUCAGGAUGAACGCUAGCGGCAGGCCUAAUACAUGCAAGUCAAGGGGCUCUUUCGGGAGCACCGGCGCACGGGUGCGUAACACGUACACAACAUACCUUUAAGUGGGAGAUAGCAUCGGGAAACUGGUGGUAAUACCCCAUAACAUUGCGGUGCGGCAUCACACUGCAAUUAAAGUUUCGACGCUUAAAGAUUGGUGUGCGUCCGAUUAGCUAGUUGGCGGGGUAACGGCCCACCAAGGCUACGAUCGGUAGGGGGUGUGAGAGCAUGACCCCCCACAUGGGUACUGAGACACGGACCCAACUCCUACGGGAGGCAGCAGUAAGGAAUAUUGGACAAUGGACGGAAGUCUGAUCCAGCCAUGCCGCGUGCAGGAUGAAGGCGCUCAGCGUUGUAAACUGCUUUUGGAUGGGAAUAAUAAUCCCGAUUUAUCGGGACUUGAAGGUACCAUCAGAAUAAGCACCGGCUAACUCCGUGCCAGCAGCCGCGGUAAUACGGAGGG
rnacentral:rRNA from 1 species